UCAAUUCACACAAGCUUUUCAAUGAUUUCACAUUACGCCACACAAGGGACGAGACAUUGCAGUGUAAGCUCCGCCAGGAACAGUUUGAAUUUGGCGCUUCAAUCAGUAACAUCUAGAUACUUUGACAAUUACAGUUAUAAUGGCCUGAGAUUUAUUUUUACACGCUUAUAAUUCUUUAUAUUUAAUUUUCCAUUAGUUUAGUAUAAUAUAAAAGAAGUUGGUGGUUGUUAUUGAAAGGUAAAAGUGUGUUGUGGAUAGGUUUGUGUCCGUACUGUGCAGAGCAGGCCAAGGGAGGACAACACAGUACCAGACGUAACUCAGAAAGGCACUGUGUUCAAAGGGUGCCAUAAACUGUGGCUUCAUUUAAUGUAUUUUGGCAGAACAAGACAGUGACAGGGCCGUGGGUGCCUGCGUGUGCUGGUGCAAGCUUGGUGCCUGCCUGGAGGUGCCUACAGGGCCACCAAGGCUAAUAUUGGUAAGAAACCCGCCAACCACUUGUCCAGCCAGCUAAUUUGCACAGUGUGAUGUAACAGGCGGUAACUGUGAUAGUGUUGUUACGUGUCACCCACUACAACAACAACACAGGGCUGUCAGAGCAAUGGCAACCCUCCGAUCCUGCAAGCAAGUUGGCGGCAGCGAUGGCGGUGGCGGUGGCAGUGGUGGUGAGGUGGAAGGCAGUGACAGAGGGGCAGUACAGGCUGCGGACAUCAAGGAGAAGAACUAUAACCAGUCUGCUGCAUUGUGAUCGUGAUACAGAGAGACCCGAGGAUGUUGCACAACUGCAUGCGGCCCUGAUGUGGAAACCCCCUCCCCAGGAUGCCACACAACUGAUCCACCAGUCUGUAUGUGGCCCUGAUGUGGAGGAAGGAGACUCAAGGAUGCUGUACACUUAAUGACUAAUCUGCAGGAGUCACGACAAAGUUGGUCAAGCAUUGAAGUCUUGCCCCCGUCAAGAGAGGCCUACAUGGAACUUUGUGACUGCCAGGUAUAAUAAUAAAGAUGUCGAUUCUUCCUGAGCCGUCAACAGUGGUGAAGAGAGCCGGAUGGAUGGGGGACCAGGCAACCUCAUACACAUAGUCCCCAUUGUCUUCGAAGGAGUAGAGAGGCUUCGUUUCCUGUAAGACAGCAGAGAGGAUCAGAC